GCAGUUACGGCACCCAAGCAGCGUCCUCUCCCAACCACCCAACCCAAACUCCGGCGGCCUCCUCUCCCUCUAGCGCCGCCGCUCCACCCUCACCUUCCUUCCUCUCCAAAGGAAGGGAAGGGAAGGGAAGGGAUGGGAUGGGGAGGGGAGGGGAGGCCCCAGAUCGAGCGGAGCAACGCCCAGAUCCGCAGCGGCACCGGCACCAGCGCGUCGUCGCGCCGUCGUCCACCUGGUCCUCGAGGAAGGCCAUGGAUGGGGGCGGAACCCUAGCCGGCGACUCCUUUUCGUGGCCGCCAAAUCCUUGCCUGGAGCUGCACCGUCAUCCAUCUCUCUACAUGUUUCUAGAUUCGCUGUCGCUGCGCGCUGUGCUUCUGGAUCACGUGCAAGUCAUUGUCAUUGGAGAGCAGGGGUGGCUUGGUAUUUAUGGUGGGCAUGGAGCAGAGGAGGAUGAGAGGGGUGGCCAUGAGACCUGAGAGAAAAGGAGAAGGGGAUGAAUCAACUCAAGGUGUUCCUAAUGGCAACAGUGGUAUAAUCAGCAAUGAGGAAAAAGGAACUACGAUUGGAUUUGUACUAGGCAAGGCAAACAAAACUACUGCACCAGAAGAACCUGUGCUCUAGUCUGACGAAGCAGCCAGGCUAUAUAUACACAUCUUUGCUUCCUGAUCCGUUUUGUCACCCUUGAUGGUCAGGCUGAUGCUUCUUCGCUUGAUGCCGAAGAAAAGGAUGAUCAUAUUAAGAUCCCCAAGAACAACAGGGAGUUAGGACAGGGAAGAAAUCAGAGCAGUGACUGCUUUGCACUAGCUAUACAGGGAUCGAAAGCCUAUAGGAGUAGGAGGAGAUAGGGAGGAUGAGGAAGGAGACAAGCAGGAGGAAGAGAGAUUCUUGGGGAUUUGCUCGCCUUAUGGACUCGCUAUAAACAUAUCCUGUUGCAGUUUACUUGGCCCGAUGCCUGGUGUGCUCACUUUCGUCUUGCCAAGGUUCCGUCUUCCUCCUUCGGCAUUCUUUUCUUUUGCUCAUUUCAUAUGUAGUAUUUUACUGAACUGUGUGUGUUUCGUGCUUGUGUCCUUUCUUCCUUGUUAGUGUUACUUAUUGUUGCCUGUUGACUUUAUACCUUGUGUGCCGCUUAUCAUUGUCUCAUUGUUUAGUUUUUGUUCUGCCAGAAAAGGGUACAUCUAUAUAAUGAAUAUAUGUUGAUUCUACAAAGCGACAUGUAUUUUGAUAUGUGUUCAAGGAAAAAUGCCGAAUCUACCUAUUCUUAUCCAUCCAGAGGUUGUGAUAUACUUUGUCAACCAAUGGAUUAUUACAAAUUUGACCUUCUCAAUAUGGUGUUCAUUUCCAUGUGCAGAAAUAGAUUGUAUCAUGCUUUGUUACAGAUUCUGUAGGUCUGCUCUCUACCAAGAACCUGCAGAUUUCAAUAUUGCUAUGUGCAUAUAAGCUUCAUUAAUUUGUUGGGCAUUAACCUCAGUCACAUAUUAAACAUGGAUGGUAGUGAUUUCUUUUUAAAAGCAUUUAUCAUUUCGAAAUUACGUCCUUCAUAGCUUGAUUAAAGGUCUAGAUAAGUAAGGUUUAUCUCUACACUAUCUUCUGCCUGUUAUAUUUUCCCUAUAAACCUCACCCUACCCGCUAUUCUGGGGCAUCCGCGGCGCAUGCAUGAUUUCGCUUGAACGAUUCACGGAGCCUGCGCUUGGGUGUGAUGCACGGGAGGCUGCGCUUCGCCUCUUCCUCGCUCAGCAAUAGGAGCAUUUGCAGCGGGGUGGUGCGGCCCAGGGACAGAAGUUGCUAAAGAAAGCUCCGACAUUAUAAUCUUAGAUGAUGACUUCAUAUCUAUUGUGAAGGGUCAUUGGAAUGGACCAAGUUAUGAAUGUUCGUGAAAUGCGAUACUAGAAUCUUUGAAGCGGGUGCUAUCAAGAUCAUGCCAAAGGCAGAGCGUGCCAAAGGUGAUGCUCAUCCCCGUUCUUAGUGAGAUGCGUUUACUCGAUGCAAAGUAUGAGCAUUGCAGACUCUGGCGAGCUGUUGAAGGUCGACGAGGAGGGCGCCGCCACCACCGUCAUCAGGCUGGUCCACAUCCACACGCUGCUCGGCGUCACUAGGUCACCGGCACAACUCCUCACGCCCAGGUCGUUCAACAUUUUCUUUCGCUUUUGGUGCGUCACAUUUAGAGUCUUUCUUUCCCAUUUUACCGUGUUUGCAUGGUAAGAUGUUUGGUUGGAUUUGAAGGUUCGUAGACUUGGCUCCAAAGCUUCAAGCUCUUGUAGAAAUUAGAAGUGAGGGCCUUUUAAAAUGAGUCCUGCAUAAUAAUGUUGUUCAGUGGGAUGCAUAAUUUUUGUUUGUAUUGAUUUACGUACUGAUUUCAUCAUCAUAUGAAUACAAUGAAGAAGUUGUGUGUA